rnacentral:rRNA from 1 species
UACGUAGGUGGCAAGCGUUGUCCGGAAUUAUUGGGCGUAAAGCGCGCGCAGGCGGCCUUUUAAGUCUGAUGUGAAAGCCCACGGCUCAACCGUGGAAGGUCAUUGGAAACUGAAAGGCUUGAGUACAGAAGAGGAAAGCGGAAUUCCACGUGUAGCGGUGAAAUGCGUAGAGAUGUGGAGGAACACCAGUGGCGAAGGCGGCUCGCUGGGACGUUACUGACGCUGAGACGCGAAAGCGUGGGGAGCAAACAGG